rnacentral:rRNA from 1 species
CUACGGGAGGCAGCAGUGGGGAAUAUUGGACAAUGGGCGCAAGCCUGAUCCAGCAAUGCCGCGUGAGUGAAGACGGCCUUAGGGUUGUAAAACUCUUUCGCUAGGGAAGAUAAUGACUGUACCUAGUAAAGAAGUCCCGGCUAACUCCGUGCCAGCAGCCGCGGUAAGUACGGAGGGGACUAGCGUUGUUCGGAAUUACUGGGCGUAAAGAGUUCGUAGGCGGACUGACAAGUUAGAGGUGAAAUCCCAGGGCUCAACCCUGGAACUGCCUUUAAAACUGUCAGUCUAGAGACCGGAAGAGGUUAGGGGAAUACCUAGUGUAGAGGUGAAAUUCGUAGAUAUUAGGUGGAACACCAGUGGCGAAGGCGCCUAACUGGUCCGGUACUGACGCUGAGGAAUGAAAGCGUGGGGAGCAAACAGGAUUAGAUACCCGCGUAGUC